rnacentral:rRNA from 1 species
CACGUAGGCGGACUGGAAAGUCAGGGGUGAAAUCCCGGGGCUCAACCCCGGAAUUGCAUUUGAAACUGUAAUACUUGAGUACUGGAGAGGUAAGUGGAAUUCCUAGUGUAGCGGUGAAAUGCGUAGAUAUUAGGAGGAACACCAGUGGCGAAGGCGACUUACUGGACAGAUACUGACGCUGAGGCGCGAAAGCGUGGGGAGCAAACAGGAUUAGAUACCCCAGUA